rnacentral:rRNA from 1 species
CAGAAACAAACGGGGGUUUAGAUUGUACUCUCAGUCUUUUUGGUAUUAUCGUUUUACUUGAGAAAGUAGACACUGACACAAGCGUACAAAUAUGACCAAAGGGAAACAACAAUACUAGAACACAUGUUUAUCUAACAUGUAGCAGAGAGAAGAAUCAUGAAUAUAGGACAGAAGAUAGAUUUUCCUCAUCACAAACACACACAUAUUUAUAUAGCACAUACAUUUAUCUUACAAGAACUUGAGCUAAUACAUGGACUACAAAACUGAAUAUAUUUCUGCAGAAAAGGAAACACACUGUGACAACACAUACAUGAACUGGAAUUACGUAAAUUCAGUGCAAAUGACAAACAUACAUGUACCACACAGGUGACAAAUAUAACAUUCGCGAACUUAUUUUAUAUAGGUGCAUCAACUAGUCGGAUCCUAGAACACAUACACUAUAUUAUACAAGUACUAAAUCCUGCGAAUUAAAGAGAGAGAAAGAGAUAGAAACUGCAGCAGCGAGUUGGGGAUUCAGAGAAGGACAGCAGGGUCGUUUUCUUUAGAAAGGAACAACAGCAAGGAAGGGGAACAACAGCAGCAUGGAGGCUUGGAGAAGAAGCAGCAGCAAAUGGAGAAGAUUCAGAGUAGCGAGGGAAAGAAGAAGGGCAGCAGCGAGGCAGGGGAAGAAGAGAAGCAACAGGGGCGAAGCAAGAGGGAGGAGCAGCAGCAGGAGACAUGGGCAAGGAGCAGCAGAGAGGUGUGGGAAGAAGAAGAAGCAGCAGCAAGCAGAGAGCAGAGGAAGGAAGAGGCAGGGAGGUGCGUGUGGUGGAUGGAGUGCUCGCGCGGGGCACCAGACACACCCGCUGCUUUGUCUCGCAGGGCGCGCGAGGUGGUGGUGGUGAUGGCGGCAGGAGGUGAUGGUGGCGCUGGGUGUUGGUGAUGGUGAUGGAUGGCGCUGGUGGGUGAUGGUGUGAUGGUGGUGCUAGUGGAUAGAUGGGCUGCGGAGGCGCACCACCACGCCGGCCUGGCCGUGGCGGCGGCCGGAGGUGGAGUAGGAGGGGUGAGGGAGAGAUGUGUAGCCAGGCCCGAUCCAAAAUUGAGGCGUGCUAGGGAUUUUGAUCCCCUCCCUGAUCUGCC